GAUUGCUUAUUUCUCUUGCAGGGUUACUAAAAUGCGGUGUCUACCUUGUGUUGGACAAACUUGAACUCCAGGUCUACCGGAGAUUAGUGAAGAAAAUGCAUAUCAUCCAGAGGGAGAAGGAACCAUCGUCUAAGGCACAUCAAAUCAAGCUAGAGGUCUCUGCAUCCAUUUUAGUCGAGUAGCAGUCUUGAAAAAGGUGACCGUGGCAAACAUUUUAUCCUGUUACAAGCACAUUAUUUGGAUGAAAUGGUGUUUAUUGUUGGUGGCUUAUUUGUAUGCCUAACAAGUUGGGCGCUUUUCUUCAGGGUUUCCCAAAGAUACACUACUUG